AGCAGCCGCGGUAAUUCCAGCUCCAAUAGCGUAUAUUAAAGUUGUUGCAGUUAAAAAGCUCGUAGUUGAAUUUCGGGAUUGACGUGAUGGUCGUGCCUCAAGGGGUAUGAACUGUUGCUGUUGAUUUCUCACCUUCUGGAGAAACUUGAUGUCCUUAAUUGGGUGUCUUGCGGAUCCAGGACCUUUACCUUGAAAAAAUUGAGUGUUUAAGGCAGGCAUUUUGCUCGAAUACAUUAGCAUGGAAUAAUAGAAUAGGACGGCAUGGUUCUAUUUUGUUGGUUUCUAGGAUCACCGUAAUGAUUAAUAGGGAUAGUUGGGGGCAUUAGUAUUCAAUUGUCAGAGGUGAAAUUCUUGGAUUUAUUGAAGACUAACUACUGCGAAAGCAUUUGCCAAGGAUGUUUUCAUUAAUCAAGAACGAAAGUUAGGGGAUCGAAGACGAUCAGAUACCGUCGUAGUCUUAACCAUAAACUAUGCCGACUAGGAAUCAGACGAUGUUAAUUUUUAAUGA
rnacentral:rRNA from 1 species